UACGUAGGGUGCAAGCGUUAAUCGGAAUUACUGGGCGUAAAGCGUGCGCAGGCGGCUUUGCAAGACAGAUGUGAAAUCCCCGGGCUCAACCUGGGAACUGCAUUUGUGACUGCAUGGCUAGAGUACGGUAGAGGGGGAUGGAAUUCCGCGUGUAGCAGUGAAAUGCGUAGAGAUCGGAAAGAACACCAACGGCGAAAGCACUCUGCUGGGCCGACACUGACACUGAGAGACGAAAGCUAGGGGAGCGAAUGGG
rnacentral:rRNA from 1 species